rnacentral:rRNA from 1 species
AUUGAACGCUGGCGGCAUGCUUUACACAUGCAAGUCGAACGGUAACAGGGUGCUUGCACCGCUGACGAGUGGCGAACGGGUGAGUAAUGCGUCGGAACGUGCCGAGUAGUGGGGGAUAACGCAUCGAAAGGUGUGCUAAUACCGCAUACGUACUGAGGUAGAAAGUGGGGGACCUUCGGGCCUCACGCUAUUCGAGCGGUCGACGUCUGAUUAGCUAUUUGGUGAGGUAAAGGCUCACCAAGGCGACGAUCAGUAGCGGGGCUGAGAGGAUGAUCCGCCACACUGAGACUGAGACACGGCCCAGACUCCUCGGGAGGCGGCAGUGGGGAAUUUUGGACAAUGGGCGCAAGCCUGAUCCAGCCAUGCCGCGUGUCUGAAGAAGGCCUUCGGGUUGUAAAGGACUUUUGUCCGGGAGCAAAUACCCAGUGCUAAUAACGCUGGGGGCUGAGAGUACCGGAAGAAUAAGCACCGGCUAACUACGUGCCAGCCGCCGCGGUAACAC